rnacentral:rRNA from 1 species
GACGAACGCUGGCGGCGUGCCUAAUACAUGCAAGUCGAACGCUGAAGAGAGGAGCUUGCUCUUCUUGGAUGAGUUGCGAACGGGUGAGUAACGCGUAGGUAACCUGCCUUGUAGCGGGGGAUAACUAUUGGAAACGAUAGCUAAUACCGCAUAACAAUGGAUGACACAUGUCAUUUAUUUGAAAGGGGCAAUUGCUCCACUACAAGAUGGACCUGCGUUGUAUUAGCUAGUAGGUGAGGUAAUGGCUCACCUAGGCGACGAUACAUAGCCGACCUGAGAGGGUGAUCGGCCACACUGGGACUGAGACACGGCCCAGACUCCUACGGGAGGCAGCAGUAGGGAAUCUUCGGCAAUGGGGGCAACCCUGACCGAGCAACGCCGCGUGAGUGAAGAAGGGUUUCGGAUCGUAAAGCUCUGUUGUAAGUCAAGAACGGGUGUGAGAGUGGAAAGUUCACACUGUGACGGUAGCUUACCAGAAAGGGACGGCUAACUACGUG